AGUUAAAGCUUUAUUUCAAAUGAUAGACACGUUGAAAGUUAACUUACACAAGAUUUUCUUUUAAUAGAGGAAGGAAUGUCGCGAAAUAACUGCCUUCUAUAAUAUGUGUUUACAAGUGUCUAAGUAUAGCAUAGUUAAAUUUAUUAGUUCAGGACGCGUCACGGUUGGAAUAUUUUACCAAUUUUGUUACAAAUAUAUGUUCUUCGAUUUAGAUGUGAAAAUAAGGGAUCCAAUUUGACUAAUUACAACGUCGCGAUUGGUGCGUAUUAGUGUCAAGUGAAACGAAAAGACUCUGAAAACGAAACCACACAAUGAGUGUCGUGACACAGCCCACCGGUACCACUAACGUUGUAACUACGCAACCACCUGUAGGGGAACCAGUUGAUCCAAAUUCAAUUGCCUUUACGGAUGCAGAAGAGGAACGCCGACAAAGGGACGACAGAUAUGACACAACACACGUCGACGAUGACACAGAAUGUAUUUUAUGUUUAGCAUGUUGUUGCUGCUGCUGUAACGACUGUGGUGAUUCUCAUGGCGGGGACGACAGUUGUGAUUGUGACUGUGGGGACUGCGAUUGUGACUGCUUUGGUUGAACAGUGUGAUUUUUAAUUGAUCGCCGUGGUUGUUUUGCACUUCCAUCUCUAACAUUUGUCUCGCAUUUUUCACAGGUUCCAUAGUACAAACGGAUGCAUAUUCGUACAGCUGGAAUGGAUCUGUAUGUCUUCAAUUAAAGAUGUUCAUUCAUUUGUAAAUAUACAUCGGUAUAAAUUAGAUAGAAUAUAUACAUCGGUAUAUGGAAUAUAUACAUUGGUAUAAAUUAGAUAGAAUAUCAGUUUUAUUUGAAAAACAAUAAACAAUCGCUUGGAAAAGGUGAAGAUACUAUUUUUAUAUUGAUAUGUGUAUACAUUUGUACAUUUUGUUAAAGGUCGGCAAACAGAUUUAAAGGCUCAUAACGCCUUUGUUAAAAAUGUGACUGCCAUAGUUUUCAAUUAUGAAUACAAAAAUAUUAAUUUCCUGAUUAAUCCUAUUCCGAUAAUUGUUUUCUUUAAUAUUUGUCAAGAGUUUGAAUAUUGAUGAACAUUUAUUGAAUCUAUUGCUUUUAUUAACUCACUUUGUGGCUCUAACUUUGAGUUCAUAUGCAGUAUUAUUUAACGUAGCUCUUUUCAAACCAUGUUAUUAUUAUGGACAACAUUUAGUUGGACAGUAUUUUAUCUGUUUUAAUAUAAGAUUUAAAGCCUUAUAGAACUUUAAACAACAUUUAGUUACAUUUUUCUAAACUACCCGCUGGCGGGGCAAAUGGUCUUGGCAGAGCAACCAAACGAUACCAAGACAUUCAUUGUCAUUGUCUAUCCGUGUUUCAAAAUUCACAUGCAUUACUAGAAUCAUGAAAACUCCUGGUACUCUUUUGCGUGAAUAUUGUACUUAACAGAUGAUCGUGCAAACAUUGUUAAUUCUUGGUCAUUAAAAGUUGAGAGAUCACUAUGUGAACUUGGAUUCCAGUAUCUACGGGAUAAUAAUUCAGUAAGCAAUUCACAAAUCGAUGCUGUUAUUUAACGAAUUAAAGUUCAGUAUGUACAAAUAUGGUUUGCUGACUUAAGAAUUUCUAGAAAACUUGAAACGUACAGAGAAUUCAAAACAGAGUUUAACACAGAAGAGUAUUUGAACUAUGUUACAAGUAUUAAACCAAGAAAUGCAAGUUUAACACAGAAGAGUAUUUGAACUAUGUUACAAGUAUUAAACCAAGAAAUGCAUUGCCAAGAUUCAGAUGUUCUACUCGUAUAUCAGCUAUUGAAGAAGGUCGAUUAAGAAAUAUAGGUAGAAACCUUAAGGCUUUGUACAAAAUGCAAUAUGCAAGUUGUUGAAUCAGAGUACCAUUUUUUAUUGAUAUGACCGUAUUACUCUGAACUAAGAACUUUGCAUUUACCUAGAUACUCUUAUACAUGACCAAAUUUGAAUAAGUUUAGGAUUAUAAUGAAAUCUUCAAGGAAACAUUUUCUGAUUAAAUUCAAUAACCAGAAUUAUGUAUCUUGCAACAGUUAAGAGAUAUUCUGUAUACCACGAUCUUUGAUGGGUUUAAAUUGUAAUCUUUUAAUUCUGGUUUUAUCAUUGCAUGUUUGUUAUUAAAUCAUAUCUAUGUCAUACUUUUCUACAUGUGUGUUUGUAUCUAUAAUAGUUUUAAUGCGCCAAAUAUGUGACUUGACGAUGGGCAUGUAUAUGUUUAAGCCAAUAAACUUUUUUGACUUGACUUGGCUAAUGUAUAAGACAGUUAUAUAUUUAGGGAAAUGGUGCAACAAAUACUACACUAAAAGUAUCAUGAAACAAUGUCGCAGUAACAAACAAGUGGUCGACCAUAUGAAUGAAUUACAGCUGUGAUUUUCAUAUUUCAUUUUCGAUCGGUAAACAUAUUGGGAAAUGUUUCUGUUUAUAAAGAUAAAAUAACAAUUUAACAUAUUAAUUAAUUUUUUUGUUUAGUACAUAAAUUCUGUGUAGUGCUCAUAUUUUCAGUAUGAAUUUGGGUCUAAUGUACCUUUAAGACAGUGUUUGUUACGUACCAAAAUAGCAUGAAAUAUUUUGAUAUAUUUUCGUUUUUACCAAAAGAGCAAUAAAGAUUUUUUUUACAUAAAUUA
rnacentral:lncRNA from 1 species